GCCAGGCGUGGUGGUGCGCACCUGUAAUCCCAGCUACUUGGGAGGCUGAGGCAGGAGAAUCACUUGAACCCAGGAGGUGGAGGUUGCAGUGAGCAGAGAUCGUGCCACUGCACUCCAGCCUGGGCAACAGAGUGAUACUCUGUCUCAA
rnacentral:SRP_RNA from 1 species